rnacentral:rRNA from 1 species
UACGGAGGGAGCUAGCGUUAGGCGGAAUCACUGGGCUUAAAGCGUGUGUAGGCGGAUUUGUAAGUACCUUGUGAAAUCCCACGGCUCAACCGUGGAACUGCUUGGUAUACUGCUUAUCUUGGGCCACUUAGGGGUUACCGGAACAAACGGUGGAGCGGUGAAAUGCGUAGAUAUCGUUUGGAACGCCAAUGGUGAAAACAGGUAACUGGGAGUGUGCCGACGCUGAGACACGAAAGCUAGGGGAGCGAACGGG